AAUCAAUUUGAUUGAAAAUUGAAAAUUGAUUGAAAGUAUGCUGAAAUGGUUUGAAUUCAGAAAUUGAAAGAGUACAAAAUUGGUUGAAAGAUUAAAUUAAGUAACAGAGAUGCAAAAUGUUAUUCUCAAGGAGCUUGCAGAAAUAAAACUUCUUUUAAAAGAAGUUAUAGAAAUUAAAUUUCAGGCUACUGAGGUGAAGUUGCUAGAAUCAGUGGAAGAAGUGGUUACACUGGAUAAUAAACUAAAAGAUAAAACUGAGUAUACUAAUUUGCUUGAUAGUUUAAAAAAGAUAGGUGGUGGAAAGCCAAGAGAACAUAUUUUUUUGAUCAUGAAAAGGUUAUUUUCGAAUCAGUUACAGUCCAAAUUAAAUCGAAAAGGAAAUGGGGAAAAGAUAAGCUUAGAAAAUCUAGUAAAUAUAUGAAGUGUUUUACGAGAUAUAAGCGACGUGGAAGAAAAUGUUGACGGUAAUGCAGAAAUAUAGUUUCUUAUGUAUAUUUUUAUGAAAUGAAAGUUAAGUAAUGUUA
rnacentral:lncRNA from 1 species